GCACUACUGAAGAGUCCCACAAUAGGACAAAACGGCCGUCCAGUGC
rfam:Schistosoma mansoni strain Puerto Rico chromosome 2, complete genome